rnacentral:rRNA from 1 species
GUUAAUGAUUUUAGGUGCUUGCACUUGAAAGAUUUAACAUUGAGACGAGUGGCGAACUGGUGAGUAACACGUGGGUAACCUGCCCUUGAAGUAGGGGAUAACACUUGGAAACAGGUGCUAAUACCGUAUAACAACCAAAACCACCUGGUUUUGGUUUAAAAGACGGCUUCGGCUGUCACUUUAGGAUGGACCCGCGGCGUAUUAGCUUGUUGGUAAGGUAACGGCUUACCAAGGCGAUGAUACGUAGCCGACCUGAGAGGGUAAUCGGCCACAUUGGGACUGAGACACGGCCCAAACUCCUACGGGAGGCAGCAGUAGGGAAUCUUCCACAAUGGACGAAAGUCUGAUGGAGCAACGCCGCGUGAGUGAUGAAGGGUUUCGGCUCGUAAAACUCUGUUGUUGGAGAAGAACAGGUGUCAGAGUAACUGUUGACAUCUUGACGGUAUCCAACCAGAAAGCCACGGCUAACUACGUGCCAGCAGCCGCGGUAAUACGUAGGUGGCAAGCGUUGUCCGGAUUUAUUGGGCGUAAAGCGAGCGCAGGCGGUUUUUUAGGUCUGAUGUGAAAGCCUUCGGCUUAACCGGAGAAGUGCAUCGGAAACCGGGAGACUUGAGUGCAGAAGAGGACAGUGGAACUCCAUGUGUAGCGGUGAAAUGCGUAGAUAUAUGGAAGAACACCAGUGGCGAAGGCGGCUGUCUGGUCUGUAACUGACGCUGAG